rnacentral:rRNA from 1 species
AAGCAUAUAAGUAAGUGGUGGAAAGGAAACUAAACAGGAUUCUUUAAGUAAUGGCGAAUGAAUAAAGAAGUUUUCAUUUUGAAAAUUGUGGUCUGUGAUCAUGAAUUGUAAUUUCAAAAUGCAUUGCUAACAAAAAUGCAAAUGGUGGUUUAUUGGAAAGAACAUGACAAAGGGUGAAAAUCCCAUGUGUCAUUUGUAUUUUUUGUGUACGGUGUGCAUUUAUUGAAUCACAUUCUUUGACAAUGGAAUGUAAAUUGGGCGGUAAAUUUCAUCUAAAGUUGAAUAUGUUGUUGAAACUUAUAGAAAACAAUUACCAUGAGGGAAAUAUGAAAAGGAUUUUGAAAAGAAAAUUAAAAGAGUUUGCAAUUGCUAAAUUGAUAAGCAAACAAAACAUAUCUGUGCGCAAGAUUGUUGUAAUCAUUUGUUGUCAAACACAUGUGUUACAAUGGUUUUUGUGUAUUUUGCCAAUAUCCAAAUUUGGAAUGAUCACCCUUGGGUAUGAUUGGAAUUUGGUUUGCUAGCCAAGGAAUGUAUCUUGAAAAAAUCAUCCUCAGUUUGAUAUUUUGUUUUAUGACACAUGCAUUGCUCGCUUGAACAGCACCGUUGGAGCAAAUGCGCAAUGCUUUGUUUAAUUCACAUGGGCAUUAAUGUUUUGCUUGACCCGUCUUGAACACGGACCAAGGGAU